GACAAGAAGACUCAGUGGUAGAGUGGGAGAUUGCAGUCAUGAUCAAAUAUCUCCAAGUCAGGCGUUCGAUCCGCCUUCGAUCCU